rnacentral:rRNA from 1 species
GAUGAACGCUGGCGGCGUGCCUAAUACAUGCAAGUCGAGCGAACAGACGAGGAGCUUGCUCCUCUGACGUUAGCGGCGGACGGGUGAGUAACACGUGGAUAACCUACCUAUAAGACUGGGAUAACUUCGGGAAACCGGAGCUAAUACCGGAUAAUAUAUUGAACCGCAUGGUUCAAUAGUGAAAGACGGUUUUGCUGUCACUUAUAGAUGGAUCCGCGCCGCAUUGGCUAGUUGGUAAGGUAACGGCUUACCAAGGCAACGAUGCGUAGCCGACCUGAGAGGGUGAUCGGCCACACUGGAACUGAGAAACGGUCCAGACUCCUACGGGAGGCAGCAGUAGGGAAUCUUCCGCAAUGGGCGAAAGCCUGACGGAGCAACGCCGCGUGAGUGAUGAAGGUCUUCGGAUCGUAAAACUCUGUUAUUAGGGAAGAACAAAUGUGUAAGUAACUAUGCACGUCUGGACGGUACCAAAGCAGAAAGCCACGGCUAACUACGU